ACUUGCAACCACCUCCGGUUCACUCUCCUCCACCACCAGUCCAAUCACCCCCACCACCAAUCCAUUCUCAUCCACCACCAGUGUACUCACCCCCACCACCUGUCCAUUCUCCUCCACCCCCAGUGCACUCACCCCCACCACCCGUCCAUUCACUUGCACCACCAGUAACACUCACCCCCACCACCUGUCCAUUCUCCUCCACCUUCAGAGUACUCACCCCCACCACCUGUCCAUUCUCCUCCACCCCCAGUGCACUCACCCCCACCACCCGUCCAUUCACCUGCACCACCAGUACACUCACCCCCAGCACCUGUCUACUUUCCUCCACCACCAGUCCACUCUCCUCCUCCACCGGUACACUCACCCCCACCACCAGUCCAUUCGCCUCCACCACCAGUGCACUCACCCCCACCACCUGUCCACUCUCCUCCACCACCCGUUCACUCUCCUCCACCACCAGUCCAUUCUCCUCCUCCACCUGUGCACUCACCCCCACCACCGGUCUACUCACCCCCACCACCUGUACACUCACCCCCACCACCAGUGCACUCGCCACCGCCACCAGCACCAGUCCACUCACCGCCACCUCCAAUCCAAUCAUCACCACCACCGGUACCGAUCCACUCAUCGCCACCUCCAGUCCAAUCACCUCCAAUCCAAUCACCACCACCACCUUCUCCAUCUCUAUCACCUCCUUCUCCCGUUUCCUCACCACCCUCUCCGGUAUAUGACUUCGCAUUGCCACCUACCAUCGGGUUCCAAUACUCAUCUCCACCUCCACCAAUGUUCCCAGGCUACUAAGCGCACUGCGAUAUCAAGCUCCCACCCGGCCCUGCAUGAAAAUUUGUUUAUAAAUAUUUACAAUCUCACAGAAA
rnacentral:lncRNA from 1 species